GUACACAAAAAUGCACAUGCUGUGAGCUCGAUGAGUAGGGCGGGACACGUGGUAUCCUGUCUGAAUAUGGGGGGACCAUCCUCCAAGGCUAAAUACUCCUGACUGACCGAUAGUGAACCAGUACCGUGAGGGAAAGGCGAAAAGAACCCCGGCGAGGGGAGUGAAAAAGAACCUGAAACCGUGUACGUACAAGCAGUGGGAGCACGCUUAGGCGUGUGACUGCGUACCUUUUGUAUAAUGGGUCAGCGACUUAUAUUCUGUAGCAAGGUUAACCGAAUAGGGGAGCCGAAGGGAAACCGAGUCUUAACUGGGCGUUAAGUUGCAGGGUAUAGACCCGAAACCCGGUGAUCUAGCCAUGGGCAGGUUGAAGGUUGGGUAACACUAACUGGAGGACCGAACCGACUAAUGUUGAAAAAUUAGCGGAUGACUUGUGGCUGGGGGUGAAAGGCCAAUCAAACCGGGAGAUAGCUGGUUCUCCCCGAAAGCU
rnacentral:rRNA from 1 species